rnacentral:tRNA from 1 species
UUAUUGGGAAGAUUUAACUUCGUAAGUAGAUCUACAGUCUAUUGCUUAUUUCUCAGCCACCAAAUA